UCUCCCCCCUUCAGAAAACAACCUUCAACAAUCAACAACAUUUGAUUUCAACCAGCCACAACCUCGACAACUCCAUCAACUUCGCGACCCGAUCCAUCUUCAACCCGAUUUCAACAAAAUCAACUCGUUUGCAUCCUUCUUCACGUGUCUCACGCGAUAGUACAAUGAAAAGCUUCGAGAAUCUUUGAGAAAUGCAUCCAGGUGUCUUCUCCAAUGUUCCAACCCCGUGAAUCUCGGAUACCAUGGUAUGAAUUCGUACAUACCUGAUUGUUUUUCAUUGGUUUAGAAUGAAAUUCGUUUUGCCCUUUUUUAAUUGGUACACUAUUUCAAAUAAUCAAAAAAUUGGUACCAAUGGGGAUGAAAUCCAAGCUGUAGAAGGGUUCCAGUUUGAAUUUCAAAAUUAGUCCUUUUUUCAAAUCCCUAAUCCACCCCCAGUUUCGUCUUCUAUAUAAGAAAUGAUUAGGUCCUGUUUUGGGGGAGAUUUGGGGGGUUCGAAAAUCGGGGAUUGUUCUCUUCCUUCCAAGUUGGGAAUUUUGGGUUCAAAAGGGGGUUUUUUCUCUUCUUAUCGGGGGGCUAGGUUCGAUUCUGGGGAAUUCUAAAAAGGUUUGAAAUUCUGGGGUUGAAGGUUCUUGGGUGGGGAAACUUUUGGAUCCAAAAAGGAUUAGAAAUUCUGGACUCGAAAACCUAGGGAGAAAAUUUCUUUCAGGGCAGCAAAACAUUACUUUGAGAGGGAAAAAAUAAGAAAUAACAGGGAGAAAUUGUCAGCUAGUCGAGUGUUCACGAAGGUAUUGAGCUUUCUGGUGGUGGUGGAAGUCCGAAGUUAGCUCGUAGUACUGUUUUGCUGCCUCAAAACAGGUGGAGCAAGACUCGAUCCAAAGGCUCAAAAACUAGAUUAGGAUGGGUGAAACGGGUCGAAGGCCCAAUUAGACUUGGAUAGGUUUUCUUGGUUUGGGCCAAUGGCCUAAAUCCCUCACUUCCUCUC